rnacentral:rRNA from 1 species
AACGAACGCUGGCGGCAUGCCUAACACAUGCAAUUCGAACGAGAACUUCGGGUCUCGUUGCGCACGGGUGCGUAACGCGUGGGAACCUGCUCUUAGGUUCGGCAUAACUCCCCGAAAGAGGUGCUAAUACCGGAUAAUGUCUUCGGACCAAAGAUUUAUCGCCUUUUGAUGGGCCCGCGUUGGAUUAGCUCGUUGGUAGGGUAAAAGCCUACCAAGGCGAGGUUGCAUUGCUGGUCUGACAGGAUGAUCAGCUAGACUGGGCCUGAGACACGGCCCAGACCGCGAGGGGGAGGAGGAGAGGAGAACAUUGUAGAAGGAGCGAAAGUGUAACACAGCAAUGCGGGGGGAGAGAGGAAGGCGGUAGGAUUGCAAAGCUAUUAUGGAAGGGAUGAAAAUGACAGUACCGGGAGAAUAAGCUCCGGCUAACUCCGUG